CAGCAGCCGCGGGAAUACGGAGGAUCCAAGCGUUAUCCGGAAUCAUUGGGUUUAAAGGGUCCGUAGGCGGUCUUGUAAGUCAGUGGUGAAAGCUUAUCGCUCAACGGUGGAACGGCCAUUGAUACUGCAGGACUUGAAUUAUUGGGAAGUAACUAGAAUAUGUAGUGUAGCGGUGAAAUGCUUAGAGAUUACAUGGAAUACCAAUUGCGAAGGCAGGUUACUACCAAUUGAUUGACGCUGAUGGACGAAAGCGUGGGUAGCGAACAGGAUUAGAUACCCCUGUAGUCCCUGUCUCUUAUAC
rnacentral:rRNA from 1 species